rnacentral:rRNA from 1 species
GUGGGGAAUAUUGCACAAUGGGGGAAACCCUGAUGCAGCGACGCCGCGUGAGUGAAGAAGUAUUUCGGUACGUAAAGCUCUAUCAGCAAGGAAGAAAAUGACGGUACUUGACUAAGAAGCCCCGGCUAACUACGUGCCAGCAGCCGCGGUAAUACGUAGGGGGCAAGCGUUAUCCGGAUUUACUGGGUGUAAAGGGAGCGUAGACGGUAUGGUAAGUCAGAUGUGAAAGCCCGGGGCUCAACCCCGGGACUGCAUUUGAAACUAUCAGACUAGAGUGCAGGAGAGGUAAGUGGAAUUCCUAGUGUAGCGGUGAAAUGCGUAGAUAUUAGGAGGAACACCAGUGGCGAAGGCGGCUUACUGGACUGUAACUGACGUUGAGGCUCGAAAGCGUGGGGAGCAAACAGGAUUAGAAACCCUUUAGUCC